rnacentral:rRNA from 1 species
GACGAACGCUGGCGGCGUGCUUAACACAUGCAAGUCGAACGAGUGGCGCACGGGUGAGUAACACGUGGGUAAUCUGCCUUUCACUCUGGGAUAAGCCUUGGAAACUGCGUCUAAUACCGGAUAGUGCAAGAUGAGCUAGCGGCCUAUCAGCUUGGUGGUAGGGUAAUGGCUACAAAGGCGCGAGGGGUAGCCGGCCUGAGAGGGUGAACGGCCACAUUGGGACUGAGACACGGCCCAGACUCCUACGGGAGGCAGCAGUGGGGAAUUUUGCACAAUGGGCGAAAGCCUGAUCCAGCCAUGCCGCGUGUGCGAUGAAGGCCUUCGGGUUGUAAAGCACUUUUAGCAGGAAGACGGUACCUGCAGAAUAAGCACCGGCUAACUACGUGCCAGCAGCCGCGGUAAUUC